rnacentral:rRNA from 1 species
CGUGCGCGGCGGACGGGUAAGUAGGAAGUGAAAGGUUGGAGCUCAACUCCAACACUGCUCCCUAUACUGCCUGUCUUGAAUGUCGGAGAGGAAGAGGGAACGACACGUGUAGCGGUGAAAUGCGUUGAGAUGUGUCGGAACACCAAUGGCGAAACACUCUUCUGGACGAAUAUUGACGCUCAUGCACGAAAGCUAAGGUAGCAAACAGGAUUAGAUACCCUGGUAGUCUUAGCCAUAAACGAUGUUCACUAGGUGUUGGGGCGUAAGCCUCGGUGCCGCAGCUAACGCAUUAAGUGAACCGCCUGGGGACUACGGCCGCAAGGUUGAAACUCAAAGGAAUUGGCGGGGGCCCGCACAAGCGGUGGAGCAUGUGGCUUAAUUCGAUGCAACGCGAAGAACCUUACCAGGGCUUGACAUGGAUCUGCAAGGUGGUGAAAGCCACUCGCUUUCGAAGGUGAUUCACAGGUGGUGCAUGGCUGUCGUCAGCUCGUGUUGUGAAAUGUUGGGUUAAGUCCCGCAACGAGCGCAACCCUCAUGUUUUGUUACCAGCGGGUCAUGCCGGGAACUCGAAACAAACUGCCUCUGCAAAGAGGAGGAAGGUGGGGAUGACGUCAAGUCAUCAUGCCCCUUACGCCCUGGGCUGCACACAUGCUACAAUGGCCGGUACAAAGGGUCGCUAACUCGCGAGAGUAUGCUAAUCCCAAAAAGCCGGUCUCAGUUCGGAUUGGAGUCUGCAACUCGACUCCAUGAAGUCGGAAUCGCUAGUAAACGC